GCACUUCCCAAGUACAUAUACAAAAAAACUGUAACGAUACAGACAACCUUAGCGAGGUCCCUGCGCCAUGAUGACGUGCUAAAUCGUGAAGCGUUCCACAUGGCG
rnacentral:snRNA from 1 species